rnacentral:rRNA from 1 species
GAUGAACGCUAGCUACAGGCUUAACACAUGCAAGUCGAGGGGUAACGAGAGGAAAGCUUGCUUUCCUUGUCGACGACCGGCGCACGGGUGGGUAACGCGAAUCCAACCUGCCCCCAACUAGGGAAUAACCUUGCGAAAGUAAGACUAAUACCCUAUAAUUUCCUCAGAUGACAUCUGACGAGGAAUAAAGAUUUAUCGGUUGUGGAUGGGGAUGCGUCUGAUUAGCUUGUUGGCGGGGUAACGGCCCACCAAGGCAACGAUCAGUAGGGGUUCUGAGAGGAAGGUCCCCCACAUUGGAACUGAGACACGGUCCAAGCUCCUACGGGAGGCAGCAGUGAGGAAUAUUGGUCAAUGGGCGGAAGCCUGAACCAGCCAAGUAGCGUGCAGGAUGACGGCCCUAUGGGUUGUAAACUGCUUUUAUACAGGAAUAAAGUUAGCCACGUGUGGUUAUUUGUAGGUACUGUAUGAAUAGGGACCGGCUAAUUCCGUGCCAGCAGCCGCCGUAA